UACGUAGGGUGCAAGCGUUAUCCGGAAUUAUUGGGCGUAAAGAGCUCGUAGGCGGUUUGUCGCGUCUGCUGUGAAAACUGGAGGCUCAACCUCCAGCCUGCAGUGGGUACGGGCAAGCUAGAGUGCGGUAGGGGAGAUUGGAAUUCCUGGUGUAGCGGUGGAAUGCGCAGAUAUCAGGAGGAACACCGAUGGCGAAGGCAGAUCUCUGGGCCGUAACUGACGCUGAGGAGCGAAGGCAUGGGGAGCGAACAGG
rnacentral:rRNA from 1 species